CAGGAGUAAAGACCUGUUAUCACUGAGUGAAUACAUAGCUCAGUUGAAGGUAGACGUGGGGAACUGAAACAUCUAAGUACCCAUAGGAAGAGAAAGAAAAUUCGAUUCCCUGAGUAGCGGCGAGCGAAAAGGGAACAGCCCAAACCAAGAAGCUUGCUUCUUGGGGUUGUAGGACUGGACAUUUGAGUUACCAAGAAACGAAGUAGUUGAAUGAUUUGGGAAGAUCAGCCAGAGAAGGUGAUAGCCCUGUAAGCGAAACUUCGUUUCCUCAGCCCAGUAUCCUGAGUACGGCGGAACACGUGAAACUCCGUCGGAAUCCGGGAGGACCAUCUCCCAAGGCUAAAUACUCCCUAGUGACCGAUAGUGAACCAGUACCGUGAGGGAAAGGUGAAAAGCACCCCGGGAGGGGAGUGAAAUAGUUCCUGAAACCAUGUGCCUACAAGUAGUCAGAG
rnacentral:rRNA from 1 species